rnacentral:rRNA from 1 species
AUGUGCGGGAACCUGUCUUCUAUUUCUUCGAAAUUCUGGUGGGGCGAAGCAGAUGGUCAUAAGAAGGUGCACUAGGUCGGCUGGGAUAGAAUGUGUAUGAUAAAGAAUGAAGGGGGGCUAGGAUUUCAAGAUCCCAAAGCGUUCAAUCAAGCCAUGCUAGCCAAACAAGCAUGGCGCCUGCUACAAGUGCCAGAGUCGUUAUGUGGAAGGGUUCUAAGGGCAAGGUAUUACUCCGACAGAUCAAUCUUAGAUGCCACAUGCUCGGACGGGGGAUCGUACACAUUCAGGAGCAUAUUACACGGACGUGACCUGCUCAUUGAUGGCCUGAUCUGGCGUAUAGGGGACGGCUCGCAAGUCAAGAUCCACCAUGACAAUUGGGUACCUAGGAGCGGUAGUCUAAGGCCACUGGGACAACGAUACAUGGUGGGCAUUACGCAAGUCGGGGAUCUGAUCGAGGGCGAUGUUCGCUCUUGGAAUAGAAAUCUGGUGCUGGAGAUGUUUCUUCCAGAUGAAGCACAUGAAUAUUACAAGUCCCAGUUGGGGGACCGGAGGUACAAGAUUACCAAGCCUGGAAUUACACUAAAAAUGGCAUCUUCACUGUCCGGUCGGUGUACCAUCUCCGCAUGA